CUGAAGUGAGCGUCUGUCUCUCUGUGGUCUCUCAGAGUCUGGACCUGCUGCUGUCUCAGGUGUGUGACAUCAUGCUGAAGCACCGCGAGGAGUGUGUGUUAGAGGCUUGUGUGCGUGUGUUGUGUGCCUUGUGCAGUGAUUGCUACAGCUUCUGUGGUCGAGCCGAGAGAGCCGUCAGUCAGCUGCUGGAUUCAACCGUGGAGAAAUUCAGCUCAAACCUGGCUGAGAUACUGCAGGGAUCGGCUGAUGAAGAUGAUUUGUAUGGAGCUGCUUCCUCUCUGAACAUUCUAGCCAUCUUCAGCAGGUGUGUGUGUGUGUGUGUUUUGUGUGAUUAUGGUAGAUAGUACUGAAGGGUCUCUACAGUGUGUUUUUGUGUGUCAGUGCCAGAGAUUUGACCGGAAGGAACCUGUUUGAGUUCUGCUUUCAGCUGCUGAAGAUGGGAAUAGAGACGAGAGAAAUCAACGAGAAGCUGAUGGUUCCAGCUCUUAAGUGUUCAGUCUUUCAUCUGUUCUGGAAAGGAACGAAGAUCAAGCAACACUCUCCAGCAAGAGACAAGGCGGAGCUGAAGCGUGUGAUGAAGGCUCUUCACUCGUUCUGUGUGGUGUGUCAGAGCUGUCUGUCCGUGGCUCAGAGUCGCAUCAGGAACCAGGUACAGCCCUCAGUCCUCUGCCGCUCACAUCACACCACAUUUGCUCUAGUCUCACCGCAGCGCUGUGCAAACUACACAACAGCAGGGACUUUGACCAACAGUGAAACCCAGCCGAUGACAAAAACACACAAGAAACUGUGCGACUGCUUGUUCAGCUCUAGAGUAUGGAGCCGCUGUCUCUGAGCUUCUGUCG
rnacentral:lncRNA from 1 species